GAUGAACGCUGGCGGCGUGCCUAAUACAUGCAAGUCGAGCGAACGGACGAGAAGCUUGCUUCUCUGAUGUUAGCGGCGGACGGGUGAGUAACACGUGGAUAACCUACCUAUAAGACUGGGAUAACUUCGGGAAACCGGAGCUAAUACCGGAUAAUAUUUUGAACCGCAUGGUUCAAAAGUGAAAGACGGUCUUGCUGUCACUUAUAGAUGGAUCUGCGCUGCAUUAGCUAGUUGGUAAGGUAACGGCUUACCAAGGCAACGAUGCAUAGCCGACCUGAGAGGGGGAUCGGCGACACUGGAACGGAGACAGGGUCAAGACGCCUACGAGAGGCAGCAGUAGGGAAUCGUCCGCAAUGGGCGAAAGCCUGACGGAGCAACGCCGCGUGAGUGAUGAAGGUCUUCGGAUCGUAAAACUCUGUUAUUAGGGAAGAACAUAUGUGUAAGUAACUGUGCACAGCUUGACGGUAACUAAUCAGAAAGCCACGGCUAACUACGUG
rnacentral:rRNA from 1 species